GAUGAACGCUGGCGGCGUGCCUAAUACAUGCAAGUCGAGCGAACAGACGAGGAGCUUGCUCCUCUGACGUUAGCGGCGGACGGGUGAGUAACACGUGGAUAACCUACCUAUAAGACUGGGAUAACUUCGGGAAACCGGAGCUAAUACCGGAUAAUAUAUUGAACCGCAUGGUUCAAUAGUGAAAGACGGUUUUGCUGUCACUUAUAGAUGGAUCCGCGCCGCAUUAUCUAGUUGGUAAGGUAACGGCUUACCAAGGCUACGAUGCGUAGCCGACCUGAGAGGGUGAUCGGCCACACUGGAACUGAGACACGGUCCAGACUCCUACGGGAGGCAGCAGUAGGGAAUCUUCCGCAAUGGGCGAAAGCCUGACGGAGCAAAGCCGCGUGAGUGAUGAAGGUCUUCGGAUCGUAAAACUCUGUUAUUAGGGAAGAACAAAUGUGUAAGUAACUAUGCACGUAUUGACGGUACCUAAUCAGAAAGCCACGGCUAACUACGUG
rnacentral:rRNA from 1 species